CUGGUGUCUGAACUGCAGAGCUCUGAGCUUGUGAAACGGCCGUAACAUCUUCAGCACAUUGUGACACUUAUUGUGAUGGGGAUUACUCUGCGAGGGUGGAGGUUCCUGAGUAUCGACAGUAUCACACUCAUCACACUUUAACUUCACCUCCAUUAGCAACAGUCCUGAGUCUCCACUUUUCUUCACGAUCUUGGACCGGUUCGUGUAAGUCCUCAGAAUACAGAUAAACAACACACGGUCGCAGGAUGCUUUCUUUCUUACUCGUCGUCUGUCUGACGCUGGCUGGAGCUGAUUCACAUCGUCACUACGGAAGGAAAUCCUCAAGCGAUGAGGAGAUUUAUUUCAAUCAUUACCCCGCUCACAAGCCUACUUGGUUUAACAUCUUUUGGAAGUUCUAUCCAUGGAUUAUACCUGGUCCCGCCCCUGCUCCAGGCCCCGCCCCUGCUCCAGGACCCACUCCUGCCCCACCCGUUACCACAAACCGUGGAGACAGCGGUUAAAACUCUUCCAGACCCGGAUCUGUCCUGAACGAAUUACAGAUAAACCUCUGAGCUCACGACCAGGAAGAUUUAUAAAGUAUUCAUUCUUUAAAUAAAAUUUGAUGCAUUGUGCAGGCGUGUGUGUGUGUGUGUGUGUGUGCGUGUGUGUGUGUGUGUGUGAGAAGAAAGUAAAAUGUUUUCAUUUCCUUAUAAAGUGACUCAGAUUUAAAGUCAAGAACAAAUAUUUAGGUAAAAGUUUUAUUUAGAAAAGUUUCACUGCGGUAUUUUUGCUCUACAGAAUCAUUUUAAUAACCUUAUGAACAUCAUUCCUCUGUGAAACUGUUGAUUUGUCUCCUUCAUUACUGUGUGUGUGUGUGUGUGUGUGUGUGUGUGUGUGUGUGUGUUAGGUCUUCUUGGUCAUGAACUCAGACUUUUUUUUACUGAAUACAAUCACAAAUAAUUAAAUAUCAGUUAAUUUCAUCAAUAAAGUUCCUCAUUCAGCAUGAACAGAGUUCAGUCAUUAAUAUUUAAUAAUCCGUCCUGAAUGAGAGAAAUAACACGUGUUCACAUCCCCGUAACAGGUGC
ensembl:lncRNA